CAAGAUCAUGCCAAGAUGUUACAUAAAUCCUGCAAGAUCAUGGAAAGAUCUUGCAUGAUCUUGCCAAGUUCUUGCAGGAUCUUACCGAAGAUCUUGCAGGAUCUUACCGAAGAUCUUGCAAGAUCUUUCCAUGUUCUUGCAGGAUCUUACCUAAGAUCUUGCAGGAUCUUGCAAGAUCUUGCCAUUAUCAUGGCAAGAUCUUGUCAUGAUCAUGGCAAGAUCUUGCAAGAUGUUUGGCAAGAUCUUGCAAGAUCUUAGGUAAGAUCCUGCAAGAACUUGGAAAGAUCUUGCAAGAUCAUGCAAGAUCUUUCCAUGAUCUUGCAGGAUUUAUGUAAGAUCUUGGCAUGAUCUUG